rnacentral:rRNA from 1 species
UACGUAGGGUGCAAGCGUUGUCCGGAAUUAUUGGGCGUAAAGAGCUCGUAGGCGGUCUGUUGCGUCGGCUGUGAAAACCCGGGGCUCAACCCCGGGCCUGCAGCCGAUACGAGCAGACUAGAGUUCGGCAGGGGAGACUGGAAUUCCUGGUGUAGCGGUGAAAUGCGCAGAUAUCAGGAGGAACACCGGUGGCGAAGGCGGGUCUCUGGGCCGAAACUGACGCUGAGGAGCGAAAGCGUGGGGAGCAAACAGG